UUAUCCUCCCCCAGCCCCGCACCCCUUAGGGACAAAAGUGGAUGGGGGAAAGAAUACCAGAGUCGGGAAUCGUGGCUGUCGUGGCUGGCGCUGCCACGGCGUGAAGUGAGCAAAUCACAGAACUUCUUCGAGCUCCAGUUCCGUAAUCUGCAAGAGGAGCGGGUCAUCGGCUUGGCUAUAUGUGUGCACAUCACAAGUGGAGUAAACAAGCAGAGAUAAAGAAAAUUGAAAUACAAGGACACAGAGAAGGGCAGAACCACAGGUGGAAGGAGCCUGGACUCUGAAUGACCACGUGGAAGAUUGCCCACAGGCCGGGAUUAUUUGCGCUGUACUUUGCCUGAAUGAAAAAUCAACUUCACUGUUGAAACACUGAGAUUUUGCAGCAUAAACAAGAGAGCUGCCAGUGUCUUCUUAUUCCAGCUGGUGCUGCAGGGUACCCUCAAGGAGAGAAUAAAUGUGAAACUGAAGUUAGGGAUUUUGUUCUGCCCUUUCUCAUUUGAAGAAGACUAGUGGAGGAGGCAGAAGUGAAAGGCAUGGCACUUAAUGACACGCCAAUGCUUCCUUUUGUUUUCUUCCCAAUUAAUUUAUAGACUUUAUGAGAUAUGUUGCCGUAUCUUACAUCCUUUUCUAUAUUUAAUCUUUUGGGAGAUAUUUUUGAGCAAUGCCAGGUUCUUUGGGGAUUUCAGAAGAAAUAUAGGUGGCACAUAUUAAAUGUGGUUCAUUUAUUCAACAAUUUUUGAGAGUUUACUCUGAGCCAGACACUGGUAAACACUGGUGAAGAAAAGCUACCAUACCUGCCCACGAGCUGGGGUCUCACAAGGAAAACAGAAAUAAGGCAAGACUAGUUGAGUAUGAUAAAGCUAUGAGAAAGAAGGACAGGAUGCUCUGGGUACACAGGGAAGGGACAUCUGACAAGGGUGGCGGAGAACUGUCCUCUAUUAAGGGGAUGAAUAAACUGAGACCUCAAGGAUGAGUAGAAGUAGCCAGAAGAAGAGGAGACAGUGGAAAGGGAGUCUUCUAGGAAGAGGGAGUGCAUGUCCAAAGGCCUGAAUAUGGAGCUUGAAGAUGGGGCCAUGUUUGGAGGGACCAGAAGGUAAGCUGGAAAGGAAGAAUAAAGAAGAUGCACAUGGGAGGAGGAACUUGUAAUAUAUGUAUGUACACGCUUAAUAAAUACAUACAGAAGUCCUUGUACUAGAAUAUGUGCAUGCAUUUACCUAGGAGGAAAUGUGGCUGAUUAACCAUCCAGAUGUCAACAGUUAUGAUAUAUGGGUAAUUUCUGUUUUCUUUCUUAUGCUUCUCUGUUUUAAAACUUUCUGCAAUAAACAUAUAUUACACUUGGAAUAAAAAAAAAUCAGAGUAAGUGUAUAUUCUUCUUAAUUGUGACUGUACCUGCUGUGCUAUCAGAUCCUCCUAGAAGUCUUCUGAGCCAACUGAGGUCCAGAACUGAUACGCGGUGCAGCCAAAGUUAGCUUUCCUACGGUCCCAUUCAGUCGGCUUC